UACGGGAGGCAGCAGUGGGGAAUAUUGCACAAUGGGCGCAAGCCUGAUGCAGCCAUGCCGCGUGUAUGAAGAAGGCCUUCGGGUUGUAAAGUACUUUCAGUCGUGAGGAAGGUGUUAAGGUUAAUAACCUUAGCAAUUGACGUUAGCGACAGAAGAAGCACCGGCUAACUCCGUGCCAGCAGCCGCGGUAAUACGGAGGGUGCGAGCGUUAAUCGGAAUUACUGGGCGUAAAGGGCACGCAGGCGGUUAAUUAAGUUGGAUGUGAAUCCCCGGGCUUAACCUGGGAAUGGCAUUCAAGACUGGUUAGCUAGAGUCUUGUAGAGGGGGUAGAAUUCCGAUGUGUAGCGGUGAAAUGCGUAGAGAUGUGGAGGAAUACCGGGUGGCGAAGGCGGCCCCUGGGACAAAGACUGACGCUCAUGUGCGAAAGCGUGGGGAGCGAAACAGGGAUUAGAUACC
rnacentral:rRNA from 1 species